CUUUUCCUCCAACCCCGCCCCUCUCACCACAUGACUCACGUUCCAACGCCGCCAUUUUGUCAGGCCGACCGAUGGAAGACUUUUGCCCCUCAGGCUCGCAUCUCCCGUUUGCACCCGAUGUACAUGCCCAUGGAGCGUGCUAAGGAAGGAUGGCCGGGAGGGAGGAGUGGACUCGGAAAGGAGUGAGUGUGGGCGGCUUGUGGGGCUCUUUGAACCGCCACUGCCAUCACCACCGUCAUGUACCGUACCAGUAGAGGCCACUCGAGCGUGUCCUCCUCCAACCGAUCCAAAGAGAGCAGUAGCUUGGGUUCCCGCAGUUCUCGCUCCGGUGGCUCCGGUUCGACGCGAGGCCGUAGCCCGUGCCGCUCGCGCUCGCCCUCUUCUCGAGGCCGCCGCUACCGUUCGCCGUCCAGCAGCCGCUCUUCUCGCCGCUCGUCGUCCCCGCGCCGCAAUAGUAGGAGAUAUUCCCCGGGCCGGCGCUCAUGUUCCCCGGGCCGGCGCUCACGUUCCCCGGGCCGGCGCUCACGUUCCCCGGGCCGGCGCUCACGUUCCCCGGGCCGGCGCUCACGUUCCCCGGGCCGGCGCUCACGUUCCCCGGGCCGGCGCUCACGUUCCCCGGGCCGGCGCUCACGUCCCCCGGGCCGGCGCUCACGUUCCCCGGGCCGGCGCUCACGUUCCCCGGGCCGGCGCUCUCCAAGUCGACACUCUGAAUCUUCAGUGGAACAGAACUUACGUAUCACAGUUGGCAAUGACCGUUAUGGCAUUGAUACACCUGAGAGAAAGAGAUUAUCCGAUAGACUAGGAUCACCAGUUUAUAGUCUAAGUGAUGUGGACAGGGAUGAUUUGGCUGAUGGUCCAAUAUUUAGCAGGGGCCUUUCACGUCCUCGAAGCCUUGAGCGAUAUCCCUCUUGUGAGGAACAUACUUCUAGUCCUUUCAGUAUGAGACAUGAUGAGGACUAUCACAGUAGGGAUGUUUUCCUCCACCAAUCAGACUAUAGCGUGAACUAUGACUAUCUACAGGAUCUCCCAAAGGAAACUGAUAGGGAUGGUAUACUACUUAGGAAGUCCUCAUAUUCAUCAGAGGAUAGAGGGCGAGAUCCAAAACGUCCUCGAUAUGACAGAGAUGACAGACUGAUUGAUAUGAGCAUAGAGCCUCAGGGUUUCUUGCCAGGAACACGAAACUACCGUAAACGAAGUCCUAGUAGGAGCCCAAGUCCACCAUACCUGGAUUUCCGUGAGCUUGACAGUGCUAGGAGAAAAAGAGAAGAGGAGCUGAGCAGAAACUUGAAUCGAGAACUGCCUGGCCAUGGCUAUAUGAUCCCUGGCAUGACUAACCCACUGCAGUCUUCUGAACCUCGAUACCUUUAUAGACCGGAUGAAGCACCAGCAAUGCCCAAAAAGUCUAUCUUGAAGAAACGUGUGGAUGAUCCUUCUCUGCAGCCUGAAGUCUUUUCUAGCAGUUCUGCCUCUGUUAAAGAGCCUCCUCUUUCAGAUCAUCCUCCUUUACAGAAGCGUACCAACAUUGCUCCUUUUUCAUCUGAGGUAGAGAAUUUCCUCAAACAGUUCAAUAAAAAUGCAAUUGCAGAAUCUGCAAGUAAGGAGUCUCAAGGCAAUGUGCAUGAUUGGAAACUACAUUCAGGCCAACAACAAAACACUUCCCCUUUUGAGCAGAAUUUUGGGAGUUUUUUAAAACAGAAAGACUAUUAUGAGUCCACAUCAGAGCCUGAAGACCGACAUAAUGACUUCUUGCUUCCCCAUGAAAGAGCCAGCCAGGAUGGGAGUGGCUUUUCACGCAUUCUGGGUAUGAUGGCAGAUUCAACCAGUGCUCAAGAAAAGCGAAGGCGCAGUUUCCCUGACAUUGAGGAUGAAGAAAAGUUUCUUUAUGGUGAUGAUGAGGAUAACUCUACUGUUAAUUCCCCCUCUUCUCAAAAGCCAACACUGAGUGGUAGUAAACAACCUGAAAUUGUGAAAGAAAGUUCUCUACCUCCUGCUAGUCCAUCUGUAAAACCAGACACUUCAGAAGAGUCCAGACCAGAGUAUGAGAAAAUUCAUGACUUGCUCAAAACUAUUGGUCUUGACAUUGGAGUGGCUGAAAUUGGUAAGCUUGCUGCCCGCACUCAGGAACGACUCCAUGGGAAAAAACCAUCUCGUUCUCCUGAUCGUCAUUUGGUGGCUUCUCAUAAACUGGAAUCUAGAGAAAGGCAUCACAGUCGAAGUGACACUCAUUCUCCAGAAUCAAGGCAGAAUCGCUCUCUCUCACCCUCUGGUUCUUUCCCACCAUCUAAAGAGAUGUCUUCUGUUUCAAAUUCUGAGCACACUAAAAGCAAAAUUGUAGGACAAGACAGUUCUGCUGUCACACCAGAGCAAUCUGCUCCUUCACUAUCUUUAAUGCCAUCAGCUCCACCUCUUCCUAAUUUGUCUCCUACUUCCACCUCAGUUUCCCAGUACAGAGUUUCUCGCUUUUCACCAUUCACUGCAACUCAGCUGCCACAGAACUAUCCAUCUCCCACAAUGCCCCCUCCUGGCUAUGAUGCAUAUGGACACUAUAUGGCAUAUGCAGCUUCUGGCUGGCCCAUGUAUGCUCCUCCCCAGCAAGCUGACCCCACACUUUCAGAUGUACAUGGGCUUGUCACACUGACAGUGCCGCCAAAUCCUACACGACCCAAUCUCCGAGUUAUUGAGACAGUUUCCACGGGUAGAGGGACUCCUGAUAUAAAGAGAGAUGAAUCUGUGCUUGUGCAAAUCCCUACUGCUACACCUUACCCAAAAUGUGUUAAGGAAAGAAUAUCUGAUGAAAGAAAUCGGGCUUCUCAGAAGCAAAAGGUAAUAGAGGAAAGAGAGAAGUUGAGGGCUGAACAGGCAGCACGACAGAAGAAACUGCACUAUCUCAGGACUGAGUUAGAUAGACUUUCAAAACAGCAAGGAGAGAUGCUGCGGAAGAAGCGUAGGGAGAAGGAUGGGCACAAAGACCCCUUGCUAGUGGAAGUGAACCGACUGCAAGAGAACAUUGUGAAGGAAAUUGCUCAACUGAAGAUAAAUGCUGAAGCUGCAGAGAAGAAACAAUCUGAGCUUGACAAGGUAGCUCAGAUCCUAGGGAUUAACAUAUUUGAGAAAUCACGGAAACAAUCUUCAGAAAAUAAAGACACCUCAGAAAAAAACAAGUCAGAAAAUGCAAAAGGUCAGGAGGGAGCUUCCAACUCAAUCAAGGAAUUGAAAACUACUAAUGACAAGCCUGGAUGUAGGAGCCCCAAGCCUACAGAAUCAUCUUUACAGCCAUCCAAACAGCAUUCUCAGGAGGCCAAUAUUUAUGACUAUUAUGACACAGGGAACCAUUGGUGCAAAGACUGCAAUACCAUUUGUGGGACCAUGUUUGAUUUCUUCACACAUAUGCAUAAUAAGAAGCACAGACAGACCUUGGAUCCAUACAACAGACCUUGGGCAUCAAAGACUCAGACUGAAACAAAGCAAGAGCUCACAAAACGCAUUGACAGAAUACCAGUGCCUGCCAAAGGGUCUGAAUUUCUAAUGCCAGUCACUGGAUAUUACUGCCAGCUCUGCCAUGAAUUUUUUGGAGACCAGAUAUCAGCAGAACAACAUGUGAAGAAUAAUCCACAUAAUGAAAAAUAUAAGAAAUAUGUGGAUGAAAAUCCCCUCUAUGAAGAUAGAAGGAACCUCGACCGUCAGGCAGGAUUGUCUGUGAUUCAAGAAACAGAACGCAGGCUGAAACGAAAGCAGUGUGAAAAGCAAAAAGAGGAGAGAGAUGAAAAAACAGCAAAAGUGGCAAGGAAAGAAGAGCCUAAAAGUAAAGAGGAGCCAAAGAAUGCCAAAGAACUAGGAGAUGGAGAUAAUGAAAAUGAAACUAGUAAAAGGAAAGGCGUUCCGAAUGGCCAAAAAUAUGGGAUUAAACUUAAAUUGAAAAAAGAUGACAAAGAGGUUGAAAAGAAGGAAGGGAAAAAAGAGGAAUCCCAAAAGGAGUCAAGACUGUCAUCUUUUGGAAAGUUCAGCUGGAGGAAGACGGAGAGAGAUGAAAAAAAUCAAGGGAAAGAUACAACCGUCUUUAAGGGGGAGAGUGCUGAAGAAGGCAAAGAUAAAGAAAGCAAGUCGCAGUCUGGAAAACCAAAUUCAAAGCCCAUUGCAAUUAAGUUGUCUGGGAAAACUGUAAUUCCACAUUCUAACCCCUGGACACCAGUUGUUUCAACAUCAUCACAAGCAAAAAUAAGGCCCAACUUACCAGCUCCAAUGAUGGUUCUCAGGAAGUCUGCAACUGCAACAGUAAGCAAGCCUGCACCUUUAAAUACUUUCUUGUCUAUAAAAUCCUCUGGAGCCAUCACCAAGCCACUUCCUGUUGUAAAAGAGAGUAAUCACGAACUUGUUCUACCUCCAGAUAUUAUUUCAAAAGCUUUUGGGGGAGAAGUAGUAGUUUUAAAGGGCUCACAGGAGAAUGCAAAGGUGCAACCAGAAGAACGUGAACAUGAAAGUCUGUCACAGGCCAUAGAACAUGCAAAAGCUCUGGAACAUGCAAAGGCAACUGUAGCAAAGGCUCAGGAGCAAGCUGUAAAGACACAGGAGCAAGCAAAUGUUGUGGCAAAAGCACAAGCAAAAGCACGGGAACUUGCAGCUGUGAUAAAGGAGCAAGUUACAAGAUUGGGAAUUUUUGAGAGACCUCAUCGGCGGCGUCCUCUGCUUCCACUGCCACCAGGACCACCACUGUCAGUAGCACUACCAGUACCACCACCAGUGGUAUUUCCACCUCUACCCCUGAUGCCACCAAAACAAGCAGCCGUCCUGGCAGAUGACUUGGCUCCUGGUGUGUCUGAGGAUGAUAAAAACAUACUGGCAAUGCCCAUGUGUCCCCGUCCUUUACCACCUCCAACUAUUUUUGGAGACCAUGUAAAAAAACUAGAGAAAAAGAAUUCCUGUCUGGCUGCAGGUAAUGCUAAAGAUCUAUAUGACAUCUUCUACAACCGCAGUGGAAGGAGUCCAGCUGAUAGCAAAUCUGUGAAUUCUGCAAUUUCAGAUAAAAGAAAAUUAAAUCCUGUUGAGAGAGAGGAAAACACAGACCUGCUGGCAGGUUCCAAACCAAGCAGCAAGUCUUUUACACAAGAUUCUCUACAGAAUGUACACAGUUCUUCAUAUGAUAGCAAAAUCCCCUUAGGUGAUAUGACUCAGGAAACAGAGGAUGGUAAAGUUGAGAAAAUUUUGGCAGCCUAUGAAGAAAACUUUAAAAUGAAAGCUAGUUUUGAGGGAGAAUCAGAGAAGGUCUCUUUUUCAGAGAGACAGUCUACAUUCACAUAUAGAGAAGCAAAAGAAUCUGAUUAUACAAUAAAUGCCUCUGUUUCCUUUCAGAAUGAGGUAGAAAUGGGAACUCCUGAUCUAGCUGAAUUUAGCAAGAAAUCACCAGCCACACAGAUAUUUCAAGGGAGCCCUCGUUCUUUGGAUGACCUCAGCAGGAAACCCACAAACCUUGAGACAGCAGAGUUUAAAUCUCCUGCUAAUAAAGAAGUAGCAAUGCAGUUAUCAGAAGAUCAUGUUGCCCUUUUAGAAGAUGUUAGCAAGAAACCAUCUGAACUUCAGACACCAGAAUUAGCCAUUCAAUUGCCUGAAAACAAUGCUUCUUCUUUGGAGGAACUUUGCAAGAAUCCCUUGGUGUAUGAAGCAGCAGAGUUUAAAUCUCCUGAUGAUAAAGAAGUAGCAAUGCAGUUACCAGAAGACCAUGUUGCCCUUUUAGAAGAUGUUGGCAAGAAACCAUCUGAACUUCAGACACCAGAAUUAGCCAUUCAAUUGCCUGAAAACAAUGCUUCUUCUUUGGAGGAACUUUGCAAGAAUCCCUUGGUGUAUGAAGCAGCAGAGUUUAAAUCGCCUGAAGAUAAAGAAGUAGCAAUGCAGUUGUCAGAAGACCAUGCUGCUCUUUUAGAAGAUGUUAGCAAGAAACCAUCUGAACUUCAGACACCAGAAUUAGCCAUUCAAUUGCCUGAAAACAAUGCUUCUUCUUUGGAUGAACUUUGCAAGAAUCCACUGGUGUAUGAGGCAACAGAGUUUAAAUCUCCUGAUGGUAAAGAAUUAGCAGUGCAGUUGUCAGAAGACCAUGUUGCUCUUUUAGAAGAUGUUAGCAAGAAACCAUCUGAACUUCAGACACCAGAAUUAGCCAUUCAAUUGCCUGAAAACAAUGCUUCUUCUUUGGAUGAACUUUGCAAGAAUCCACUGGUGUAUGAGGCAACAGAGUUUAAAUCUCCUGAUGGUAAAGAAUUAGCAGUGCAGUUGUCAGAAGACCAUGUUGCUCUUUUAGAAGAUAUUAGUGAGAAGAAAUCAGAGCUGGUGACAACAGAAUUAGCCAUGCAGUUGCCAGAAAGCAGUGUUCCUCCUUUGGAUGGCCUCAGCAACAAACCUGCAGACCUUAAAACAACAGAGAUUAAAUCUCCAGUUUAUAAAGAAUUGACACUGAAAUUGUCAGAAGACCAUGUUGCUCUUUUAGAAAAUAUUAACAAAGCAUCUGAGCUUGAGGCAGCAGAAUUACCCAUGCAGUUGCCUGAAAGCAACGCUUCUCCUUUGGAAGAACUUUGCAAAAAUCCAUCGGUGUGUAAGGUAGCAGAGUUUAAAUCUUUUUAUGAUAAAAAAUUAGCAGUGCAGUUGUCAGAGGAACAUGUUGCUCUUUUACAAGAUGAUAGCAAAAAGCCAUCAGAGCUGGAGACAGCAGAAUUAGCUAUGCAGUUGCCAGAAACCAAUGUUCUUCCUUUGGAAAAACUUUGCAAUAAUCCAUCAAUGUGCGAGACAGCAGAGUUUAGAUCUCCUGAUGAUAAAGACUUAGCAAUGCAGUUGUCAGAAGAUGUUACCGUGAAGCCAUCGGAGCUGGAGACAACAGAAUUAGCCAUUCAGUUGUCAGAAAGCAGCGUUCCCUCUCUGGAUGACCUCAGCAACCAACCAAGAGACCUUGAGAUGGCAAAGUUUAAAUUUCAAGAUGACAAAGAAUUAGGGUUACAAAUGUCAGAAGACCAUGAGGCUCUUUCAGAUGUUAGCAAGAAACCAUCUAAACUUGAGACACUAGAAUUAGCCAUGCAGUUACCAGAAAGCAAUGCAUCUCCUUUAGAAGAACUUUACAGGAAUCCAUUGGCGUGUGAGAUAACAGUGUUUAAAUCUGAGGCUCUUUCAAAAUAUGUUUGUAAUAAGCCUUUGGAGCUUGAGACAGCAGAGUUUAAAUAUCCUGAUGAUAAAGAGCUAGUAAUGCAAUUGCCAGAAAAUGAGACUGACUUUACUGAGGAACCUGUACUAAUGAGAGAUGUUGGUAUGGCAACUGGUGAAGACAUCAGUGAGAAUUUACAAGACCAACAGAAAAUGGAUAAAUCCAAAUUAGACGAGUUUAAUAAAGAUUUGGAGAUGAAAGCAUAUUUGGCAAGUUUAAGUGAAAGAGAUGUAGGAAAAGAACAUUUAGAAUUUGCAGGACAUCAGUUUGCUGUUAAUCAGGAAGAUGAGUCUCAGUUGUUUGAAAUGCAAAUUGAAACCCCUAAGGAAGAAGGGCCUGCUAUAACAGAAGAUACGCAAGUUGCUGACAGCUCCAAACUGACAAUUUCUACUUGGGUUUCAGAGGUGUGUGUUCAGAGUCCACUGGUUUGGGGGCCAAUAGUCUCAUCUUCAGAUGUGAAGAAGGAAAAUUCUCAAAGAGCAAUGAUAGAUCGGAGUUCUUCUAAAGAACAAUUGUUGGAUCUAAAAUGGGGCACUGUGGGACUUGAUAGGCUUGAGUCAGCAAUCAGUGAUGAAAGUCCUCAGACUUCAGAGGUGCAUAAUGUAGAUUCAGAACUGAAGCCUUUGAAUAAAGACGAAUCGGCUGCUUUCUAUACAAAUAAUGAACAAGAAUUAUUGUUUAGUUCUAAACCAAAGGAUGGUAAGAAUAGCAAUGUAGUUGAUAUUCCAGAAGCAGGAGAGAUGUCAGAUGAAUGCCUUGCUAAUGUAACAGUUGCAAGCACUGCACAAAGGCAGUAUGAAAAAAUAAGUCAGCAUCCAUUAAGCAAGGAUUCCCAAGCUGAGGGAGAUGAAGCUCUGAGCGGUAUUUCUUCUACAAAUGAUACUGAACCUAGUGACAGUGUAGAAUUAAUGUUUAUAAAAAAUGACACAUGCAGGCCUUCUGAAUCUGGUCUGGACUUAAAGGACAGUGAAGAGAGAGGUUCUACAGAAACAGACACCUCUAACUUUUCCAGUGUUCAGCCAGAGAUGAUUCAUGAACCAUUAGAUGCUCUUCCAACAGAAAUCAGUGUUGAGCAUCUUGGAGAGGAAGCCCUUACCUUCACAGACAUGAACACCGGGGUCUUGAAUACCUCAGCAUCUGGUGACUUGGACUUAAACACAACUUACCCAGAACUUAACUUUGAUCAGACUACAACCCUUUCUCUGAAUUUAAAUGUAGAAAAUGAGAGAGAGUCUCCAAAGUCUGAUGAAAUAAAGCCUAAGGAUCCUCCUGGAUUGAAACGGGGCCUAGAAUUAGAAACCAUGACUUUUAGUCUAGGGGAUAUUGAAGUGGGACGUGAACAUCUGGGCAUCCUACCAUCUGAAAUUCUAAAUGAGGAUAUUGGAGGGAGCCCAAAGCUAGAAACUAUUGCAUCCAUUUGUUUAAAGUCCAGCAAAACUAGUGAAUUGGGCAUUGGGCAACCUGCAGUUGAAUCAGAAAUGAUGGAUUUUGUUGUGUUAACAUCUGGUGAUCAAGAAGAUAAACUUUGCUCCUUAGUUUCUGACGUAAUUGUCCCACGUGUAGUAUCUCCAGCAUCAAACGGUAGCACUGCAGGACCAAGCGUGCCACUCCUUGAAAUGCAGGACAUGCCUCCAAUUUCCAAAGUCUUGCAACCAGAUGUUCGCAAAGGUGGCACAUCUGAUACGCCAUCAUUGAGUUAUGAUGAAAAAAAUUUACAGAGCCAAGCAGCUGAAUGCAAGCAAUCCUUCCUUCCAGCACUAAAGAAAACAUCUGUAGAAAUGGGGGGCUCAGGCGACCAUGAAUUGUACAUUGUCAAAAAUGAUAUCCAGACAUCUGCAGGGGAGGUAACCAAGACAGAGGAAGUGGAAAAUAACGAUAGGAGAUGUGAGGUUAACAGUAAGUUGGCUUCAGAAAUAACUGAAAGCUCUGCAGAGCACCUGGUAAGUUCAGAUAAAAUUGAUCCUAAUGCUUGAGUAGCUAUUGUGUAGAUUUUGUAAAUAUUCUGUUUGAGUUUAACAUGAUAGAUAUUUUGCAGCUCACAGUAGAUACUUGCUGAAGCCUAAACUUUCUUUGCCCCCCCCUCCCCAGACUCCAUUGUACAUACUGGAUUGUAUAAAACAUUUUCUUGUUGGACAGACCAUUUCAUUUCUGCUUCCUGCCAUUAGAAUGGGAUUUCUCAUUUAUACUGGGCUAGUUUACACAGAAUGCUAAACUAAGGUUUGGCAUUAUGAAGAUGAGCACUCCCCUUCCCCUCUCUCAGUGUGGCUGUGCGACUAUUGGGAGUUAGAAUUAAUGUCAAUUUAGCGUUGUGUCUGAAUUGUAAACUGGUUAAUUCAGAGACUAUGGUUUGAUGUUGGCCUGUUUCCACUAACCAUAGUUAAACAAGACAAACUACAGUUUGUCUUAAAUUGAAGGAAAAGCUUCCAAACUUCAUGGCUGUGCUGGAGAAGGAGGAGGGUGAUAGCAAGUGAGCCCAAGACUAGCUACAGCUUUUCUUUGUAAUGUUUAGCAUUAUGUGUGAACACAGCAAAUGUGUAUGUGGUUUGGGCAGAGGUUGUUGCUAUUGGGACAUGUUUUUUUGUAUUUUUCUUUGACUUUUUUCAUGGUUUUUGAUUUACACAGCUUUUGUAAGUAACAUUCCAAGUGCAGCACUGACAAGCGCAAGGACAUCUGUUCAGAACUUGAGGAAAAAGAAGGCUCUUUCUGAAGCAUUUGAGUAGAAAGUGUAUUUAAAAUGUUAUGCAUGUUUUGUUGCACAAAAUGUAAAAUGCAUGAAGAUUGUUCUGCAUUUUUUCAAGAUGCAGAAGAUUGUCCUGCAUUUUUGACCUGUAAUUACUUGUUGAAUUGCAUCUGUAAUCUAGACUGUAAUGUCAUAUUACUCUUUAUGGAUACCAUCUCGCUGAACAAAGGAGAAAAUCUACCAACUUACUUUUGGAGAAGGAAACUAUUUGCAGCUGCCCAACUCAGAAGAAAUAGAAGAUUUGAACUUUGCUCUCAGGAUUGGAUUCACUUCACAUAUCCAGACAUUAGAUGCCUGAA